AUCCUAACNGUGCGAAGGUAGCNNAAUCACUUGUUCUUUAAAUGAGGACUAGUAUGAAUGGCCCCACGAGGGCUGCACUGUCUCCUUUUUCUAAUCAAUGAAACUAAUCUCCCCGUGAAGAAGCGGGGAUAACUUUAUAAGACGAGAAGACCCUAUGGAGCUUUAAACAACUGAAACACUUGCUUUUCUCUUAUCCUCUUCCGAGUUUUUAUUUUACCUAAGCAUUUUUAUUUCUAGUUUUAGGUUGGGGUGACCACGGAGCAAAACUAAACCUCCAUGAAGAAAUGAAUACUUUUUAAGCCACAAACUACUUUUUUAAGCAUCAACAAAUUGACCUUCAUUGACCCAAUAUAUUGAUCAACGAACCAAGUUACCCUAGGGAUAACAGCGCAAUCUACUUCAAGAGCUCAUAUCGACAAGUAGGUUUACGACCUCGAUGUUGGAUCAGGGUAUCCUAGUGGG
rnacentral:rRNA from 1 species